GGGGGGACGGAGAAGGCUAGGUGGGCCUGGCGACGGUUGUCCAGGUUCAAGUGCGUAGGCUUAAGAGUUAGGUAAAUCCGGCUCUUUUUAAGGCUGAGACACGACGUCGAGCACCUACGGGUGUGAAGUCAUUGAUGCCAUGCUUCCAGGAAAAGCCUCUAAGCUUCAGAUUGUAAGGAAUCGUACCCCAAACCGACACAGGUGGUCGGGUAGAGAAUACCAAGGCGCUUGAGAGAACUCGGGUGAAGGAACUAGGCAAAAUGGUACCGUAACUUCGGGAGAAGGUACGCUCUUGAUGGUGAAGUCCCUUGCGGAUGGAGCUGACGAGAGUCGCAGAUACCAGGUGGCUGCAACUGUUUAUUAAAAACACAGCACUGUGCAAAAUCGUAAGAUGACGUAUACGGUGUGACGCCUGCCCGGUGCCGGAAGGUUAAUUG
rnacentral:rRNA from 1 species